CAGACCAUCCGUUGAGAGUGAUGGUGCAAUAUCCUCCUGUAUGCAAUAGAUCUGAGAAGCAAAGCAAGUCAAGCUGAUCUGAGGGAAGUGAAGGAACUGCUUUGGUUCCAAGAAAUGGGUUUCGUACAGAAGGUAGUGAAACAGAACACGACGACAAAAGCCUGGGAUUUGAAUUUUAUCACCCGUUGUUGGGUGUACUGAAAAUGAUCCCUAAACAAUAUUGGAGAAUUCUACAGUAUUGAAGCUUGAAAGAUGAAUAAUGAGGAAAACCAGGUUUCACGGUGGUCAGCAAGUGAACUGCUUUGAACAGUGUGAUACAGCUAAUAAAGUUACAGAAGAAAGGCAGCUUUAUGGAGUGAUUAUGAGCAUGGAACAAAAAUGAAGAGACUUGAAUUAUCAGCUCCAUUAAUGAGUGACAGACUAUGGACCAGUCAUAUAACUAUUUGCCUCAGCCCCUACAUCUUUACAUUGAAUUCAUGCUUCUUGGGAUUGAGAUAAAAUUCAGAUGCAUAAAGGACUUCCACUAAUCUGAGAGAAAGCUGUCCGGCUUGUUUAAAAUGGAUUGCCCAAGGUAGCCUGUGGCAGACAGUUUUAUGAAACCACAUAAUUGAGAUUUCUCUCCCUCUCUUCCCUCCUUCCCCUCCUCCUCCAACCCCCUCACUCUCCCGUUACCCCACCUCAUAUAUACGUCUUGUCAUUUCCCCACUGUAAUUGACUUUAUAAGAUGCUGUCCAGGCACAAUUCUUUGAGACAGCUUCCAAACUGGAAAAAAAAAUAGUGCGAGUGGCCACAAAAGCAAAUGACUUUUUCUGACUUUUGAUGUGAGAGGAAAAUACCUAAUGGAUUCCAGAUUCUUUCCUGUUCGGAUUGUGUGAUCGUGACCAAUUAAAACGGAACCCACUGCUGAAGUUUCACUUCCUCAGUUCCUCUACCUCAGGAAGUGGUAUGGGCUGGGGAAGUGUGUCUGUCGUGUGCUUGUUCUGUGUAGGGAAAGAAAAUGUGUGCAAACUGGCUCAGGUUGCAGUCACUUGGAAGAGUCCAGAGUCCUACAAACAAGUAAAACAUAAUAAUGCAGCAAGACUCAACUGGUCCUGGUAGCCGUAAAAUAUUUUCAGUUGUCUGCCAACAUGCCUUGAUAUUCCUUCUGAAGAUUUUCUUGUACUUCAUGCUAAAUAGUAAUUAAAGUGUACAAUUUCACCGUUUUUCCUCCCUGACAUAUACUUGCUCUAGGGAGUUAUCAGCUCACUUUAGAGGCUCUCUGUUUUGAAAUGGAGCAUGGAGGCAACAAAAGAGUGAUGGAAGAAGUGUCGGGGAGGAAUGAAUUGUAGUCGAAUGUUACGACAGAUCACUGAUGGCAUGUGGUUCAUUCCUUCGUUCCUGCUCCUUUGCAAAUUUCUCCUUUUGAACAAGCAGGGAAAAGUUCAUCUUGUGGUUGGUUGAAUUUAUUAAACCAUUUCCUCUCAAUAGCAAUUCAAAAUUCCAAAUAAAACUCGAUAAAUGUGCAGCUGGAUUUUAACCUCGCAUCACUGCCCUUUGAUUUCAGUGGCGUGCAAUAAGCCUUGAAUCGAAGAAAGGUAGAACGUGGUCAAAAAAUUGUAAUGAACAUCUCUGGCAAACAUGCAAAAUGAAAAAUCAGAGUAAUCUUUCCCCAAAAUAAAACUUAAACUUCA